CUAAAUUCUAAUUAACACAUGCACAAGUAGACACACAAACUAAAGCAAUAUGAACAUACUAAAAAUCCUGUGAUAGCCAUUUCCUCCACUGAACAGGAAGUCAGAAAAAUUUCAAACAUCAUACUUUAACGAACUCCUCCUAGAGGAUCAAUCAUAGCAACGAGCAACUCCAUAUUCAGUCGCUGUCAUCUAAAGACCUUUGUGGUGAAGUUAUCAAUAGAUUUGUAUUCCAUGGAAUGUCAUGGACGUUGCCUCGUGGUAAAGUUUGAUGUUGCUCCAUAAUAGGGGAUGUUCCUCUGCUUUGCAGGUACCUGAAAGCACCUUGUCUUCGAGUGUCGACAGCACCACUGACCUGUUCACAUCCAUGGACAGGUCAGAACAGAGGACAAAGGUGACUGACUUCACUGUCGAUAUGCGCACUGAAUACAAACAGACUUGGACACAUUGUUCCCGACGGUAAAGAAACGGGAUUCUGUCAUGCAACGUUUAGGUGCCCGGACCAGUGGAGCGGCCUUCUGCGCCAUCUGUCGUGAAGUGUUGUGAACAGGUGGCCAUGGGAAGUCAGUUUACAGCAAGGAAUUGCAUACAUAUAACAGUGAAUGAAGAUUUUUCUAAACGUGAUUCGAAAGGCUGUUUCAGAACUGACAUAAUAACAUGUAAUAAUGACAUUUAAAAAAAUGUAUUUAUAUAUUUUUAUUAUUAUUAUUAUUUUUUUAUUAUUAUUGAAGCAUGAUACAGCUUAUGUAGCCAACAAAAUUACCCUCACCCAGCCUCCCUGAACACCCCUUGGCAGCUGCUGUGUUCCCAAAAUAUUACAAAUACAAGUGCACAUUUUCACAACAAUGCCUCAGACGGUUCAGAUUGCACUCAUUCGUCAUGAACUUUUGUGUAAACAGAAAUAAUUAAUUGCAAGUAGAACAUAUAUAAAGGCAGGUCUCAAACUUUAAUCAAGUGCCCUCAUUCAGUGGGUAGUUCUUUUGAACUCUCAAAGUACAACAAUGGAUUUUUGAAUACAACUUUUUGACAGACCCUAACCCUCAGUGUAAAUUUGGAUCUUUCCUAGUUUAAGCAGAAACAUUAUGUCCUCCAGCCAAGCAGCAGCAGGUGGAGGGGUUGUAGAUUUCCAGACCAGCAAAAUUCUUCUACGGGCCAAAAGCGAUGUGAAUGAUGUCAGAUUGGUUUGCAUUUAAAACCAAAGUUCAAUCCGCUACACCAAAUACAGCUAUAAGUGGGCAAGCUCUCACUGUCACCCCGAGGACUUCACUGAUGUCUUUAUUUUUUUAAACUCUGCCUAGUGGCCACUGAGCUAGGCCACUAUGCAUGAUGGCUCCUUGUCAUGGCUUACUGAGACACCUCAAAAGAACAGGGUACUGAUAACGUUAUACGUAACACUGGUGCUUUUCCCGCUGAUGAUAAGUCAAACUGAAUGAGGAAAAUGAAUCGUCCAUACACUCAAAUCUGUGCAAAUACCUUUUUUAAUUUGCAUGCUUUCCGUCAGAGACUUUCUUUGAGGCAUGAACAGGUUUCAAAUGCAGGACAACUGUGUCAAUCAGCUUGGCCUGUGUGACUGCAGACAAAAGAUUAAAGACUGUGUCCAAAGAGACAAGCAAGAAUCUUUCAGAACCUCCAACAAAAAUAUCAAAAAGAUAAGAUAUAUACAGAAUACAGAGGGAGAUUAUUGUUAGUAAUUCAUAAGAGAACACUUCA
rnacentral:lncRNA from 1 species